CGGUUAAGUUAGAAAGGGCGCACGGUGGAUGCCUUGGCACUAGGAGCCGAUGAAGGACGGGACGAACACCGAUAUGCUUCGGGGAGCUGUAAGCAAGCUUUGAUCCGGAGAUUUCCGAAUGGGGAAACCCACCACUCGUAAUGGAGUGGUAUCCAUAUCUGAAUACAUAGGAUAUGAGAAGGCAGACCCGGGGAACUGAAACAUCUAAGUACCCGGAGGAAGAGAAAGCAAAUGCGAUUCCCUGAGUAGCGGCGAGCGAAACGGGACCAGCCCAAACCAAGAGGCUUGCCUCUUGGGGUUGUAGGACACUCUGUACGGAGUUACAAAGGAACGAGGUAGAUGAAGAGGUCUGGAAAGGCCCGCCAUAGGAGGUAACAGCCCUGUAGUCAAAACUUCGUUCUCUCCUGAGUGGAUCCUGAGUACGGCGGAACACGUGAAAUUCCGUCGGAAUCCGGGAGGACCAUCUCCCAAGGCUAAAUACUCCCUAGUGACCGAUAGUGAACCAGUACCGUGAGGGAAAGGUGAAAAGCACCCCGGAAGGGGAGUGAAAGAGAUCCUGAAACCGUGUGCCUACAAGUAGUCAGAGCCCGUUAACGGGUGAUGGCGUGCCUUUUGUAGAAUGAACCGGCGAGUUACGAUCCCGUGCAAGGUUAAGCAGAAGAUGCGGAGCCGCAGCGAAAGCGAGUCUGAAUAGGGCGAAUUGAGUACGUGGUCGUAGACCCGAAACCAGGUGAUCUACCCAUGUCCAGGGUGAAGUUCAGGUAACACUGAAUGGAGGCCCGAACCCACGCACGUUGAAAAGUGCGGGGAUGAGGUGUGGGUAGGGGUGAAAUGCCAAUCGAACCUGGAGAUAGCUGGUUCUCUCCGAAAUAGCUUUAGGGCUAGCCUCAAGGUAAGAGUCUCGGAGGUAGAGCACUGAUUGGACUAGGGGCCCUACCGGGUUACCGAAUUCAGUCAAACUCCGAAUGCCGAUGACUUAUCCUUGGGAGUCAGACUGCGAGUGAUAAGAUCCGUAGUCGAAAGGGAAACAGCCCAGACCGCCAGCUAAGGUCCCAAAGUAUACGUUAAGUGGAAAAGGAUGUGGAGUUGCUUAGACAACCAGGAUGUUGGCUUAGAAGCAGCCACCAUUUAAAGAGUGCGUAAUAGCUCACUGGUCGAGUGACUCUGCGCCGAAAAUGUACCGGGGCUAAACGUAUCACCGAAGCUGCGGACUGUUCUUCGAACAGUGGUAGGAGAGCGUUCUAAGGGCUGUGAAGCAAGACCGGAAGGACUUGUGGAGCGCUUAGAAGUGAGAAUGCCGGUAUGAGUAGCGAAAGAGGGGUGAGAAUCCCCUCCACCGAAUGCCUAAGGUUUCCUGAGGAAGGCUCGUCCGCUCAGGGUUAGUCGGGACCUAAGCCGAGGCCGAAAGGCGUAGGCGAUGGAUAACAGGUUGAUAUUCCUGUACCACCUCCUCACCAUUUGAGCAAUGGGGGGACGCAGGAGGAUAGGGUAAGCGCGGUAUUGGAUAUCCGCGUCCAAGCAGUUAGGCUGGGAAAUAGGCAAAUCCGUUUCCCGUGAAGGCUGAGCUGUGAUGGCGAGCGAAUUAUAGUAGCGAAGUUCCUGAUUCCACACUGCCAAGAAAAGCCUCUAGCGAGGUGAGAGGUGCCCGUACCGCAAACCGACACAGGUAGGCGAGGAGAGAAUCCUAAGGUGAUCGAGAGAACUCUCGUUAAGGAACUCGGCAAAAUGACCCCGUAACUUCGGGAGAAGGGGUGCUCUGUUAGGGUGCAAGCCGAGAGAGCCGCAGUGAAUAGGCCCAGGCGACUGUUUAGCAAAAACACAGGUCUCUGCGAAGCCGUAAGGCGAAGUAUAGGGGCUGACGCCUGCCCGGUGCUGGAAGGUUAAGAGGAGCGCUUAGCGUAAGCGAAGGUGCGAAUUGAAGCCCCAGUAAACGGCGGCCGUAACUAUAACGGUCCUAAGGUAGCGAAAUUCCUUGUCGGGUAAGUUCCGACCCGCACGAAAGGCGCAACGAUCUGGGCACUGUCUCAACGAGAGACUCGGUGAAAUUAUAGUACCUGUGAAGAUGCAGGUUACCCGCGACAGGACGGAAAGACCCCGUGGAGCUUUACUGCAGCCUGAUAUUGAAUGUUGGUACAGCUUGUACAGGAUAGGUAGGAGCCUUGGAAACCGGAGCGCCAGCUUCGGUGGAGGCAUCGGUGGGAUACUACCCUGGCUGUAUUGACCUUCUAACCCGCCGCCCUUAUCGGGCGGGGAGACAGUGUCAGGUGGGCAGUUUGACUGGGGCGGUCGCCUCCUAAAAGGUAACGGAGGCGCCCAAAGGUUCCCUCAGAAUGGUUGGAAAUCAUUCGCAGAGUGUAAAGGCACAAGGGAGCUUGACUGCGAGACCUACAAGUCGAGCAGGGACGAAAGUCGGGCUUAGUGAUCCGGUGGUUCCGCAUGGAAGGGCCAUCGCUCAACGGAUAAAAGCUACCCCGGGGAUAACAGGCUUAUCUCCCCCAAGAGUCCACAUCGACGGGGAGGUUUGGCACCUCGAUGUCGGCUCAUCGCAUCCUGGGGCUGUAGUCGGUCCCAAGGGUUGGGCUGUUCGCCCAUUAAAGCGGUACGCGAGCUGGGUUCAGAACGUCGUGAGACAGUUCGGUCCCUAUCCGUCGCGGGCGCAGGAAAUUUGAGAGGAGCUGUCCUUAGUACGAGAGGACCGGGAUGGACGCACCGCUGGUGUACCAGUUGUUCUGCCAAGGGCAUCGCUGGGUAGCUAUGUGCGGACGGGAUAAGUGCUGAAAGCAUCUAAGCAUGAAGCCCCCCUCAAGAUGAGAUUUCCCAUUCCGCAAGGAAGUAAGAUCCCUGAAAGAUGAUCAGGUUGAUAGGUCUGAGGUGGAAGUGUGGCGACACAUGGAGCUGACAGAUACUAAUCGAUCGAGGACUUAACCAAUUU
rnacentral:rRNA from 1 species